rnacentral:rRNA from 1 species
GAUGAACGCUGGCGGCGUGCCUAAUACAUGCAAGUCGAGCGAACGGACGAGAAGCUUGCUUUUCUGAUGUUAGCGGCGGACGGGUGAGUAACACGUGGAUAGCCUACCUAUAAGACUGGGAUAACUUCGGGAAACCGGAGCUAAUACCGGAUAAUAUUUUGAACCGCAUGGUUCAAAAGUGAAAGACGGUCUUGCUGUCACUUAUAGAUGGAUCCGCGCUGCAUUAGCUAGUUGGUAAGGUAACGGCUUACCAAGGCAACGAUGCAUAGCCGACCUGAGAGGGUGAUCGGCCACACUGGAACUGAGACAUGGUCCAGACUCCUACGGGAGGCAGCAGUAGGGAAUCUUCCGCAAUGGGCGAAAGCCUGACGGAGCAACGCCGCGUGAGUGAUGAAGGUCUUCGGAUCGUAAAACUCUGUUAUUAGGGAAGAACAUAUGUGUAAGUAACUGUGCACAUCUUGACGGUACCUAAUCAGAAAGCCACGGCUAACUACGUG